rnacentral:rRNA from 1 species
AGUGAACGCUGGCGGUAGGCCUAACACAUGCAAGUCGAACGGCAGCACAGUAAGAGCUUGCUCUUACGGGUGGCGAGUGGCGGACGGGUGAGGAAUACAUCGGAAUCUACUUUUUCGUGGGGGAUAACGUAGGGAAACUUACGCUAUACCGCAUACGACCUACGGGUGAAAGCCGGGGGUCUUCGGACCUUUCGCGGUUGAAUGAGCCGAUGUCGGAUUAGCUAGUUGGCGGGGUAAAGGCCCACCAAGGCGACGAUCCGUAGCUGGUCUGAGAGGAUGAUCAGCCACACUGGAACUGAGACACGGUCCAGACUCCUACGGGAGGCAGCAGUGGGGAAUAUUGGACAAUGGGCGCAAGCCUGAUCCAGCCAUACCGCGUGGGUGAAGAAGGCCUUCGGGUUGUAAAGCCCUUUUGUUGGGAAAGAAAAGCAGCAGGUUAAUACCCCGCUGUUCUGACGGUACCCAAAGAAUAAGCACCGGCUAACUUCGUG